CGCAUCUGUGCAUGCAGCAUAUCAAUAAGCGGAGGAAAAGAAACUAACAAGGAUUCCCUCAGUAACGGCGAGUGAAGCGGGAAGAGCUCAAAUUUGAAAUCUUGAAAGGUCACCUUUCACGAAUUGUAGUUUAAAGAAGUGUUUUCUGUUACGAUCGUAAUAUAAGUUUUUGGAAUAGGACAUCACAGAGGGUGAGAAUCCCGUCUAUGAUUGCGAUUUGUAGCUUUGUGAUACACUUUCAAAGAGUCGGGUUGUUUGGGAAUGCAGCCCAAAACGGGAGGUAAAUUUCUUCUAAGGCUAAAUAUUGGCGAGAGACCGAUAGCGAACAAGUACCGUGAGGGAAAGAUGAAAAGAACUUUGAAAAGAGAGUUAAAUAGUACGUGAAAUUGUCAAAAGGGAAGCGUUUAACACCAGUGUUGUUUUCUGAAAAUCAACCUCUGUUAGCUUUAUGCAUGUUUGUUUAGACCUAAUCAGCUAUCUUGCAUGUUCUAUUGUUUGCAGUGGUGCACUUUUCAGUUUACAGGUCAACAUCAGUUUUUUUUACCGUAAAAAAGUUAAAGAAAGGUAGCUCAUGGCUCCGGUCGUGAGUGUUAUAGUCUUUUUCCUAUGCGGUAGGAGAGACUGAGGUCUGCAGUGUAGGCUAUUUGGCUAGAUACUCAGGUGCUAUGUGAUACCAUUUCAUAAACAACUUGUUGAUUAUGUUUUGUCUAUUGCAUACUCGCUUGUACUAUCAUACCUACGCUUAGGAUGUUGACGAUCAGCUGAGCGCG
rnacentral:rRNA from 1 species